UACUAGCCAUAUCAGCUCUCUCUGCGCGCCUUGAAACGGAUAAAAUCUCUCUUCUUCUCUGCUCUGUCUAGCUCUCAAAGCCAAAGCCACUGAAACUGAAAAACGCUGGAAAAAAUGCUAGCGAAUCCUAGCACCAGUACUCUCCAUCACAGACCUAAUUACACACACAACCCUCCAUGUUCACUCUUUAAUCAUCGCUGCAAGCUCUCUCUCUCCCCAAAUUGCCCCCGCUUCUCCAAUUCUGCAAAAUCCAACUUUUCUUCGCUUUCUCUGCUUCUAUCAAGAAGAAAGCGUGAAAGGUUGUUUACUGUUGUCAAUGCUUUAGAGGAAACUUCUGUGGCACAUGAUGGCCCUCAGUCUUUGCCUCAGCCUUUUUCUGUCAAAAUCCCCGUCGGUGACAGACAUAUAUUGGUUGAGACGGGUCAUAUUGGGAGACAAGCUAGUGGUUCUGUCACCGUGACGGAUGGGGAAACUAUUGUCUAUACAUCUGUUUGUUUGGAUGAUGUUCCUAGUGAGCCUUCUGAUUUUUAUCCUCUAUCUGUAAAUUAUCAAGAGCGAUUUUCUGCAGCAGGUCGAACUAGUGGAGGAUUUUUCAAACGGGAAGGGAAAUUGAAAGAUCAUGAGGUUCUUAUUUGUAGAUUGAUAGAUAGGCCUUUGCGCCCAACCAUGUUCAAGGGCUUUUACCAUGAAACCCAGAUACUAUCUUGGGUUUUGAGCUAUGAUGGCUUGCAUUCUCCCGAUUCUUUGGCUGUCACAGCAGCUGGAAUAGCUGUAGCUCUUUCAGAAGUACCAAAUACAAAAGUAAUUGCAGGAGUUCGAGUUGGCCUUGUUGACAAUAAGUUUAUUGUGAAUCCAACAACCAAGGAGAUGGAAGAGUCAGAAUUGGAUUUAUUGCUGGCUGGUACAGACAGUGCAAUAUUUAUGAUAGAGGGUUAUUGUAAUUUUCUUACAGAAGAAAAGUUGCUUGAUGCAGUACAAAUUGGGCAGGAUGCAGUGCGGGCAAUUUGCAAUGAGGUGGGUGUUUUGGUGAAGAAGUGUGGGAAAGCUAAAAUGCUUGAUGCAAUCAAAUUACCUCCUGCUGAGCUAUAUAAGCAUGUGGAGGAAAUUGCUGGUGAUGAAUUGGUGAAAAUAUUGCAAAUUACAAGCAAAGUACCAAGAAGAAAAGCCCUUGCAUCACUGGAAGAAAAGGUGCUUAGUAUACUUACAGAAAAGGGAUAUGUAAGCAAGGAUGCAAGAUUUGGAACCCCUGAAACAGUUGCGGACUUGCUAGAGGUUGAAGAUGAGGAUGAGGAAAUUGUUGUAGAUGGUGAAGUGGAUGAAGGUGAUGUCCACAUAAAGCCAAUUGGACGCAAAUUCUCUCCCUUGUUGUUUUCUGAGGUAGAUGUGAAGCUGGUAUUUAAAGAAGUUACAUCCAAAUUCUUGCGGAAACGUAUUGUUGAGGGAGGAAAAAGAAGUGACGGGAGAACUCCAGACAAGAUACGUCCAAUUGAUUCCAGAUGUGGAAUACUUCCCAGAGCACAUGGAAGUGCUCUUUUCACACGUGGGGAAACACAGUCAUUAGCAGUUGUUACACUUGGUGAUAAACAAAUGGCACAAAGAGUAGACAACCUUGUUGACGAAGAGGAAUUCAAGAGGUUCUAUCUACAGUACUUGUUUCCUCCAUCAUGUGUUGGAGAAGUGGGCCGGAUAGGGGCACCUAGUAGAAGAGAAAUCGGUCAUGGAAUGCUUGCUGAGAGAGCUCUUGAACCUAUAUUGCCUUCUGAAAAUGAUUUUCCUUAUACUGUACGAGUUGAGAGUACAAUCACAGAAAGCAAUGGCUCCUCAAGCAUGGCCUCUGUUUGUGGAGGCUGCUUGGCAUUACAAGAUGCUGGUGUUCCUGUAAAAUGCAUGAUUGCUGGGAUUGCGAUGGGUAUGGUUCUUGACACUGAGGAAUUUGGGGGUGAUGGAACGCCCCUCAUUCUGUCUGACAUAACUGGAUCAGAAGAUGCUUCUGGAGACAUGGAUUUCAAGGUUGCUGGAAAUGAAGAUGGAAUAACUGCAUUUCAGAUGGACAUAAAGGUUGGAGGAAUCACCUUACCUGUUAUGAGAAAGGCAUUGCUACAAGCAAGGGAUGGCCGAAAGCAUAUUCUUGCUGAAAUGUUGAAAUGCUCACCUUUCCCUUCCAAAAGGCUUUCUAAGUAUGCCCCAUUGAUUCACAUUAUGAAGGUCAAUCCGAAGAAAGUUAACAUCAUCAUUGGUUCUGGUGGGAAGAAGGUGAAGAGUAUAAUAGAAGAAACUGGAGUUGAGGCUAUUGACACACGAGAUGAUGGAAUUGUAAAAAUUACUGCAAAGGAUUUGUCAAGUAUAGAAAAGUCCAAAUCCAUUAUCAAUCGGCUAACAAUGGUUCCAAAUGUCGGUGAUAUCUACAGGAACUGUGAGAUCAAAUCUGUAGCUCCUUACGGAGUCUUUGUUGAGAUAGCCCCAGGGCGUGAGGGACUUUGCCAUAUUAGUGAACUAACUUCGAACUGGUUGCCAAAGGCUGAAGAUGUUUUCAAAGUUGGAGACCGUGUUGAUGUUAAACUAAUUGAGGUAAAUGAAAAGGGACAACUUCGACUUAGUCGCAAAGCAUUGCUUCCUGAAGCCACUCCAGAGAAGUCCAGUGCAGAGCAUCAUGCAACUGAUAAGGCUAGUCCCAGAAGGAAUGUGAAAGCACCAAAGGAUGAUUUAGCUGAAGAGUACAAGGAUAAAGACAGUGAUGUAAAUUCCCCAAGAAGUGAUUCAAUAAAGGAUGCUCCAGUUUCAAAAAAGAAAGUUUACAAGGGAUUAACCAGUUCUGACACAGAUGGGCCAAAGAAGAACAGUGUUGCAUCUGUCAGUAGCAUUGCCAGCAAAGAUGAAGGUACUUUAGUGAAUGGAGAUGCUAAGAUUGGAUAGCGAAUGUUGCCUGUUGUUCAUUGAUGAAUAAGUUGGUUUGUUAUCAUAAGAAAAGAUGACAAGGAAAGAGCAUUAGCUGGAACUGAAGGGAAAGAAUUAAAGGGUCAUGUGAAUGAGAGGGAUCUAUCUCCCAGUGAUUCUACAAAGUUGCUUCGAUGGAAGGCCAAAGAUACUCAAGUAAUGUCCUGAAUUUUAGGGUCUGUUGACCCUUUUAUUUUUCUUAAUCUAAUGUUAUAUAAGACAACACAAGCCAUAUGUGAGUAUCUAAAAAAGGUUUACUAUCAGGAAAACAAUGCCAAAUGUUUUCAUUUAGAAAAUAAUAUUUCUAAUUAUUCUUAAGGCA